UGAUUUUGGAGCCAUUUCUUUUGAGAAAUAAACAAUACUUGGAUUACAUUAUAAAAAUGAAGUGCUGCUUCACCUUCCAUUUUGUUUAAUAAUGGUUUUCAUGUCUUUAGCAACAUGGAAGCUGACGUGAAACUUCAGCAUCAAUAGAUAAGUUCUUUAGUUUUAUGUUUUGCUAGUGUUGAAUGGUUAAUUGGUAUGUGUGGCUUCCUCUUGUCCCGCGUAUAUAUUGAUGGUGAUGGAGACAGUUGGUAUUUACAAUUUGACAAUUCCAAUGUCCAAAGCAGUCUAUGGAAAAAUUUACAGAUUUUUUUGGCAUAUUACAGAGUCAAUAUUCUUUGUUGUUUUCUUUCCAUUGCACCUACCUUAAAGUUUUGUAUAUCAGUCCAAAUACUCAUCUUAUUGCUUUGCUUGUUUUGUUUCCAGAGGUUGCUUUUUGUGCGGCUGUUGUAGCUAAUCUCAACAUAAAGAGUUGUAUACUUUGCAUGAUUGAUCAUUAUACAAGUCCAGAUUACUGAAGGACCAAAUUCUCAAAUAAAAAGUUAUAUUUAGUUUGUGGAUCUGCCUGAUUGUGAAAUUGAUGGAGGGUGCGAUUAGGUGCUCCACCAAGUCACCAACUAUGUUCCUCUUUCUCCGAUCAGCUUCCUGGAGCGCUCAGCCAUAGUCUACAGAGACAGACCCUCUAUUAUGUAUGGAGACAUCGUCUACACUUGGAGACAGACACUUGAACAAUGCACCAGACUUGCUUCUGCUCUUGCCCAACUUCGAAUUUCUCAAGGCGAUGUGGUUCCUGGUCUUGUUCUUCGCAUGUGAUUGGUAGCUCGUCAGUAGGUAGUUUGAUCAAAAGGAUUUCACUCCUAUCCCCAUGGUGACUCGAACCCAUGAGUUCGUCAGUAGGUAGUGGGUGCUCUAACCACUGACUCAAACCUAACAAAUUCCAUUAAUGUUUAAAUGCUCAAACCUAACCCAUCAUCAUUUGUUUAAAGCCAAAUAGUUUUGCUUGGUAGCCUAUAAAUAGAGGCUACAACAAAGAAGAAAAACACAUUCCUUCAUCCAUUUCAUCUUCUUUGUCUCUCCAUUUCCUUUCCAUUUUCCUCUCCAUCCUCUAGUUUCAAGUUUCUGCAUUUUCAAGCAAAGAGAAGAAGAGAAGAAGAAGCCAUGAAGCCUCCUAGCCGUCAUCAUCCACCUUGUGCCGUGAUAGUGAAGUCUUGCUUUCAAGAUUCAAGAUCAACGUCUCAAGCUCUUCAUCAUCCACUCCCUUCACGGUGUAAUUCUAUCUUUUUCCUUGUAACUUCUUUUGGUUUUCUUUGUUUGGAUUUGUAGAACUAUGAAUUGUAAUUAACAUAAACGUUUAGGGCAAAGUUUAAGCCUAAUUUCUAUGUUUGAAUAAAGAUUUCGAAUUCCAUAAUUGUGAUU